rnacentral:pre_miRNA from 2 species
UCUUACAGAUAAGCAAAUAAAGUGGUUUCUUCAGAUGGAAUUUACUUCUGGUGAAGAUGGUGUGAA